rnacentral:rRNA from 1 species
CCUACGGGUGGCUGCAGUGAGGAAUAUUGGGCAAUGGGCGCAGGCCUGAACCAGCCAAGUCGCGUGAGGGAAGACGGCCCUAUGGGUUGUACACCUCUUUUAUAAGGGAAGAAUAAUGACUACUUGUAGUCAGAUGCCCGUACCUUCUGAAUAAGCAUCGUCUAACUCCGUGCCAGCAGCCGCGGUAAUACGGAGGAUGCGGGGUUUAUCCGGAUUUAUUGGGGUUAAAGGGUGCGUAGGGGGUAUUUCAAGUUAGUGGUAAAACGGCGGGGCUUCACCUUGAUUGGCCAUUAAAACUGGAGUACUAGAGUACAGAAGAGGUAGGCGGAAUAAGUUAAGUAGCGGUGAAAUGCUUAGAUAUAACGUAGAACCCCGAUAGCGAAGGCAGCUUACCAGACUGUUACUGACGCUGAAGCACGAGAGCGUGGGUAGCGAACAGGAUUAGAUACCCCUGUAGUC